GAUGAAGAACGUAGCGAAAUGCGAUAAGUAAUGUGAAUUGCAGAAUUCAGUGAAUCAUCGAAUCUUUGAACGCACAUUGCGCCCCCUGGUAUUCCGGGGGGCAUGCCUGUUCGAGCGUCAUUUCACCACUCAAGCCUCGCUUGGUAUUGGGCAACGCGGUCCGCCGCGUGCCUCAAAUCGACCGGCUGGGUCUUCUGUCCCCUAAGCGUUGUGGAAACUAUUCGCUAAAGGGUGUUCGGGAGGCUACGCCGUAAAACAACCCCAUUUCUAAGGUUGACCUCAGAUCAGGUAGGGAUACCCGCUGAACUUAAGCAUAUCAAUAAGCGGAGGA
rnacentral:misc_RNA from 1 species